rnacentral:rRNA from 1 species
GAUGAACGCUGGCGGCGUGCCUAAUACAUGCAAGUCGAGCGAACAGACGAGGAGCUUGCUCCUCUGACGUUAGCGGCGGACGGGUGAGUAACACGUGGAUAACCUACCUAUAAGACUGGGAUAACUUCGGGAAACCGGAGCUAAUACCGGAUAAUAUAUUGAACCGCAUGGUUCAAUAGUGAAAGACGGUUUUGCUGUCACUUAUAGAUGGAUCCGCGCCGCAUUAGCUAGUUGGUAAGGUAACGGCUUACCAAGGCGACGAUGCGUAGCCGACCUGAGAGGGUGAUCGGCCACACUGAAACUGAGACACGGGCCAGACUCCUACGGGAGGCAGCAGUAGGGAAUCUUCCGCAAUGGGCGAAAGCCUGACGGAGCAACGCCGCGUGAGUGAUGAAGGUCUUCGGAUCGUAAAACUCUGUUAUUAGGGAAGAACAAAUGUGUAAGUAACUAUGCACGUCUGGACGGUACCUAAUCAGAAAGCCACGGCUAACUACGU